AAUUCCCGGAGCUCCAGAUCGAUCCGGAGUCCCGAAGGAAGGCGACGGCCCCGCCCCCGGGGUGGAGUCGGAUACGGGUGCCCAAUUCUGAAGAAUAAAAUAGGCACUUUUCCAUGGAGAAAGCUGACAAACUACUUCUUUAAAAAAAUGGUGAAGAUAAACGUCUUCAGUGUGAUGUCAUAUGGAUAUCAUGUACCCACUUGAUAUGAUGUCAUAAGAAUGGCAUAAGCAGGAUGCCUCUUUGGUACCACUUCCAAAAAUUCAUCACCCAAAUCUAGUUAUGAUAAAAAACAUUCUUCAAACUCAUACUGAAGACUCCUAAAGCUAAUCAGUACUCUUCAAAACUGUCAAGGUCAUGAAAACAAUAAAAGACUGAAAAACCAUCACAGUCCAGAGGAAACUGGAGAAGUGACAACUCAUUGCAGUGUGGUAGUUUGGAUAGGAUCCUGGGACAGAAAGAUGAUAUUAAUGGAAAAGCUGGUGAAACACAACUUAGUCUGGAGUUUAGUUAAAAGUAACGUGUCAUUGGUGGUUUAUUAGCUUUAACAGACGUUCCGUGCUGUUGUAAAAUGUUCACUGUCAGGGAAAAAGGAUGAAGGGCACACAGACACUGUAUUAUCUUUGCAAUGUUUGUAAAUUGAAAAUUGUCCCAAUUAAGUUCAUUUUUUUCUAAGUUUAUUUUUCUAAAUCCAUUUAGAAUACCACCAAAAUGAAAUCAGGGCAUGUGCAUGUUUUACCUGCUAGCUUUCUAGACAGGAAAUUGAAUUUUGAUUUAGUACAUAUUUGCUCAAAUAUGAAAAUUCAAAAUAUCUGUUGCCGCAGUUUGGGCAGUUCAUCAUGCUUCAUAGUGUUAAAUACUUUGCCUUCAGCAUUAUGUUUUCCAGAUCUCUCAUUUAGUUCUUAUAACUGAAGAAAAUCAGAAAGUGUUUGCUAUCAUGCUCUCCAGACCCAACACAAGGAGAGUGCCAAGAGAAUAAUGCAAAUGAAACAUGUCAAGAGGCCGUGGACAUUUGCAGGUUAUGCAGAACUUGACUCCUGAGGAAAAUGUCAUCAGAAUCACUUGUUUUUGUAAAUGAAGUAUAAAGGAGAGGAUUCGUUGUUGUUGGUGGUGGUGGUGUUUUUCCCUAACAUGCCGCUUGUAUCAAUGAGAUCUUCAUAAGCCAAAGCUUAUAAUGCUGUUGACUACAAAAAUAAAUUGUCUUGUUAGAGCAA
rnacentral:lncRNA from 1 species